CAUGUCUCCCAAGGGAUUGGGUUUUGCUGGUUAGCCAGGGAGGUGAUGUCAGGGGAACUAUCUGGUGGAGGGCUGUCGGUGGGGUGUACUUUUUCAAAAACUCCCAGCCCCUCUGGCAGGCUUCCCUGCAUGUGUCUUCGACUGGAGCACAGGUCCUGUCUCGCAGGUUUUCAGGUGUGCUUGGCUUUUCCUCAGCUUUGUGUGAGUGUUCCCAGUGGCCCCGGGACACAGGCCUGCACCUCACUGUCCGUCUCAGCAUCGUCCCUUAUGACCUCAAAGAGACACACUCACUCCCUCUGCUCUUGGGGGAAGUCAAUGCCAUGUGUGGUCACAUUGGCUCUAUCUUGGCCUCGCCUUUGUCUCUUGUUGCAUGUGUUGUGGAAAGCUGUGUUGGGAUUUCGGAGUCCCUGGGCCUUGGAGAUGAAGGGAGGCCCUUCCCACCUCACUACAUUGUAACCCCAUUCCUGAUCACCCGGUCGGAUCCAUUGUUGGAUUCGAAGAGGUGUCCAGAGAGCCCAGCGGGCACCCCGAAGCUCCUCCUCCACAUGGAACCAAAGCAGAAAACCAAUCAAGAAGGUCCUGACGACAGGACUCCUAUGGGUCUGACCCUGGCUCUCGCGCAGGCCCCUCUCCUAGUCCUCUUCCCACCCGCCGCCUUGGACUGCUCCGCUGCUGCCACCGCUGCCCCAGUCCCUGCAGCCGUCGCGUCGCCACCAUUUUUUAAGGGGUCCCCAGCCUGACUCUCCGGAGCAAAUGGGGAGUCGGCCUCGCCAGUGCUCAUGCCCGAGGCCUGAGCCGCCGUUUUGGUCACAGCGAUUGACACUGUUUCCUGGGGAUGGGUCCCUGAGACUUGGCGAAGUAGAAGCCCUGUGUGAUAGUGCGUCAGAGUCGGGGCUGAGAGCAGUCCUGGCCAGGGCGUUAACAGGAUGGUCUCCAGAGGCCGGGAUUCACGGAGAACCGACCAGCAGGAAGAAACCUCAGGAGGAAGAAACCUCAGGCAGAUCUCCGGGGAGGCAGCGCAAGAUCCCAACCUCAGGCCAGGAUUCGCGGAGGGUCAAGGAGGCCUCUCUCCCAAUCUUCACUUCACCUGCCGCCGCCUCAGUCCCCGCAGGCCCCGCUCCGCCAUAUUUUUUUUAAUGUAGUCAGUGUCUCACUGUCACCCAGUCUGGAGUGCAGUGGCGAGAUCUCAGCUCACUGCGAAGUCUUCCGCCGGGAUUCAAGUGAUUCUCUUCCCUCCGCCUCCCGAGUACCUGGGAUUAGAGGGAUUAGUCAGAGUCAGGGCUAAGACCAGCUCUCACCAGGGGCAUAGACCGGAUGGUCUUGGAGGCCGGGAUUCACGGAGGGUCGUCCAGGAGGAAGAAACCAUGGGCAGAGGGCCAGGGAAGCAGCGCGGGAUCCCAGGCUCAGGCCUGCACCGACUGAUGGUGUGCCAGUGAGUCUCUUCAAAAGAAGAGAGGUUUGCUUGUGUGCCUGUGGGCUGCUCUCUUACCCACGGGUCAUGGUCGCAGAGAGUAGAACCCGGCAGCUUCAGGGGCUGCCUGGGAGUGGGUGUUACCGUGCCACUGCCAUAUGCCUUUGUGCGUUUGUAUGUGUGCCUAUGUCUCUCUCUUAUUUCUCUCUCUCUCCUUUCUCUCUCUUUCGCUCUGUGUCCGUGUGUGUGUGUGUGUUGGGACGCAUGUGCCCUGUGUGCUGGAGGGUGGUAUCUUGUACGUCGACCUUCCUUCUGGUCAGCCUCUCCCUGUGUCUCUGCCUGGGGCAUGUGGCCGGUUGUCAGUCGUUUUUCCGCUGUUCCAGUGUGGGUUUGUGAAAGUCUGGACGAGGUGGGGAGCUGUGUCUAUCUGGUAAGGAUUUAAAUCACCUCUCCACCCUAAGAGGUCUCUUAUCUAGGAUUAAGACCUCUACCCCCCAGCCAAGGAUAAUAGUCUCACCGGAGAGGUCAUUGUCUACCUGCAGGAGCGGUGCCGAGCGACCUCAAAGAAGAUGGUUCUCAUUCCUCUCUCUCUUCCAUCUCAUUGAGAAAUCUAGCCACAGGGUAACACAGGUUUUGAAAAGAAGGGAACGGGAGCAUGGCAAGGAUCUAUGAGUGUGCAGGCUGUGUUUCACAUAUCAUUAAACAUUGUCUAGUGAGUGUUCUGCAGAUAGCUGGCAUUUAACUUUGUUUUAUUGAAUCAAGGAAAGAAAAAA